UACGGAGGAUCCAAGCGUUAUCCGGAAUCAUUGGGUUUAAAGGGUCCGUAGGCGGUUUGGUAAGUCAGUGGUGAAAGCCCAUCGCUCAACGGUGGAAACGGGCCAUUGAUACUGCCAGACUUGAAUUAUUAGGGAAGUAACUAGAAUAUGUAGGUGUAGCGGUGAAAUGCUUAAGAGAUUACAUGGAAUACCAAUUGCGAAGGCAG
rnacentral:rRNA from 1 species